rnacentral:rRNA from 1 species
GACGAACGCUGGCGGCGUGCCUAAUACAUGCAAGUCGAACGCAGUGGGGACGGGUGAGUAACACGUGGGUAACCUCCAAUCAGAGGGGAUAACACUUGGAAACAGGUGCUAAACCGCUACUGAUGGAUGGACCCGCGGUGCAUUAGCUAGUUGGUGAGGUAACGGCUCACCAAGGCCACGAUGCAUAGCCGACCUGGGAGGUGUAGCUGCCACACUGGGACUUAGACGCGGCCCAGACGCCUACGGGAGGCGGAAGUAGGGAAUCUUCGGCAAUGGACGAAAGUCUGGCCGAGCAACGCGGCAUGAGUGAAGAAGGUUUUCGGAUCGUAAAACUCUGUUGUUAGAGAAGCGGUAUCUAACCAGAAAGCCACGGCUAAAUCCGUGCCAGCAGCCGCGGUAAUUC